UACGUAGGGUGCGAGCGUUGUCCGGAAUUAUUGGGCGUAAAGAGCUCGUAGGCGGCUGUUCGAGUCGGGUGUGAAAUCCUGAGGCUUAACCUUGGGUCUGCAUUCGAUACUGGGCGGCUUGAGUCUGGUAGGGGGAUCUGGAAUUCCUGGUGUAGCGGUGAAAUGCGCAGAUAUCAGGAGGAACACCGGUGGCGAAGGCGGAUCUCUGGGCCAUUACUGACGCUGAGGAGCGAAAGCGUGGGGAGCGAACAGG
rnacentral:rRNA from 1 species